UACGUAGGGGGCAAGCGUUGUCCGGAAUCAUUGGGCGUAAAGAGCGCGUAGGCGGCCCUGUAAGUCCGCUGUGAAAGUCAAGGGCUCAACCCUUGAAUGCCGGUGGAUACUGCAGGGCUAGAGUCCGGAAGAGGCGAGUGGAAUUCCUGGUGUAGCGGUGAAAUGCGCAGAUAUCAGGAGGAACACCGAUGGCGAAGGCAGCUCGCUGGGACGGUACUGACGCUGAGGCGCGAAAACGUGGGGAGCAAACAGG
rnacentral:rRNA from 1 species